CAGCAGCCGCGGUAAUACGUAGGUGGCCAGCGUUGUCCGGAAUUAUUGGGCGUAAAGCGCGCGCAGGUGGUUUAAUAAGUCUGAUGUGAAAGCCCACGGCUCAACCGUGGAGGGUCAUUGGAAACUGUUAAACUUGAGUGCAGGAGAGAAAAGUGGAAUUCCUAGUGUAGCGGUGAAAUGCGUAGAGAGUAGGAGGAACACCAGUGGCGAAAGCGGCUCUCUGGUCUGUAACUGACGCUGAGGCUCGAAAGCGUGGGGAGCAAACAGGAUUAGAUACCCCAGUAGUCCCUGUCUCUUAUAA
rnacentral:rRNA from 1 species